rnacentral:rRNA from 1 species
CCUGGUUGAUCCUGCCAGUAGUCAUGUGCUUGUCUCAAAGAUUAAACCAUGUAUGUGUAAGUAUGAACAAAUUCAUACUGUGAAACUGUGAAUGUCUCAUUAAAUCAGUUAUAGUUUGUUUGAUGGUAUCUACUACUCGGAUAACCAUAGUAAUUUAAGAGCUAAUACGUGAAACAAACCCCAAUUUCUGGAAGGGAUGAAUUUAUUAGAUAAAAGGUCAAUACGGGCUCUGCCCGUUGCUGCGAUGAUUCAUAAUAACUCAAUGGAUUGCAUGGCCAUCGUGCUAGUGAUUCAUCAUUCAAAUUUAUGCCCUAUCAACUUUCGAUGGUAGGAUAGUGGCCUACCAGGGUGGUGAUGGGUGACAAAAAAUUAGGGUUAGACUCUGGAGAGAGAGCUUGAGAAAUGCUACCACAUCCAAGGAAGGCAAUUGGCACGCAAAUUACCCAAUCCUGACAUGGGGAGGUAGUGACAAUACAUAACAAUACUGGGCUCAAUGAGUUUGGUAAUUGGAAUGCAUACAAUCUAAAUCCCUUAACGAGGAUCCAUUGGAGGGCAAGUCUAAUGCCAGCAGCUUCGGUAAUUCCAGCUCCAACAUCAUAUAUUUAAGUUGUUGCAGUUAAAAAGCUUAUAGUUAGACUUUGGGAUGGGCCUGCCGGUCGGCCUAUGGUGUGCACCAGUCGUCUCAUCCCUUCUGUUGGUGAUGCACUCCUAGACUUAAAUAGACUGGUCAUUCCACCGAUGUUGUUACUUUUAAGAAAUUAGAGUACUCAAACCAAGCCUAUGCUCUGUAUACAUUAGAAUGGGAUAACAUUAUUGGAUUUUGUCCUAUUACAAUGGACUUUGGGAACGGGGUAAUGAUUAAUAGGGAAUGUCGGGGGCAUUCGUAUUUCAUAGUCAGAGGUAAAAUUCUUGGAUUUAUAUAAGACGAACAACUGCGAAAGAUUUUGCCUAGGUUGUUUUCAUUAAUCAAGAAUGAAAGUUAGAGUCUCGACGACGAUCAAAUACCAUCCUAGUCUCAAACAUAAACGAUGCAAACCAGGGAUCGACGGUUAUUUCUUCUAGGACUCCGCCAGCACCCUAUGAGAAAUCAAAGUUUUGGGGUUUUGGGGAGAGUAUGGUCACAAGGCUAAAACUUAAAGAAAUUGAUAGAAGGGCACCACCAGGAGUGGAGCCUGUGGCUUAAUUUGACUUUACACGGGGAAAGUUACCAAGUCCAGACACAGUAAGGAUUGACAGACUGAGAGCUCUUUCUUGAUUCUAUGUGUUGUGGUGCAUGGUAAUUCAUAGUUGGUGGAGUAACUUGUCUCAUUAAUUCCAUUAAUGAAUGAGACCUCAGGCUUCUAACUAGCUAUGCAGAGGUAUCCCUUUGCGGCCAGCUUCUUAGAGAGCCUACAACCUUUUAAGCCUUGAAAGUUUGAGGCAAUAACAAUUGUGUGAUGCCCUUAUAUGUUCAGGGCUGCACGUUCGCUACACUGAUAUAUUCAAUGAGUUUAUAGCCUUGGAUAACCGGCUCGGGUAAUGUUUUAAAUUUUAUUGUGAUGGGGAUAGAUCAUUGCAAAUGUUGGUCUUAAAUGCGAAAUUCCUAGUAAGCGCGAGUCAUCAGUUCGUAUUGACUAUAUCCCUGUCCUUUGUACACAACGCCCAUCGCUCCUACUGAUUGAAUGAUCCGGUAAAAUGUUUGGAUCGGGGCGAUAUGGGCGGUUCGCUGCCCGCAACAUCGCGAGAGGUCCAUUAAACCUUAUUAUUUAGAUGAAGAAGAAGUUGUAACAGGGUUUCUGUAGGUAAACCUGUGGAAG